AUACAAUUUCAUUGUCCAUGUUAACGUCCAUGAGUCUCCCUCCUAAAACUAACCUGAGGGAAAAACUCGUCGCUCUAAAAAUCACCUCUGACGAUGUUGGAGGUUCAAACACCUUCAAACUUAUAUCAAACUACUCCUACUUAAUCCCUCUCUUAUAAUCUCAACUUCGUUUCUUCCAAUUCCUAACCUAAUUUCCAAAUCAACAUAAAAUGUCUAUGAACCCUAACAUUUCAAACCACACUUAAACGCGAAAUAAGCAUGAAAUAGAGCCUAAACCUUAGGGGCUUGGCUCCUUAGAGAUGAAGCUACAUCAUGGUGGUCAUUUUUGCAUGGACCAAAGAGGAAAAGGGAAGGAGCUUACUUGCUAGAGAAACUAUGGCGGCUCUUCCAGAUGUUGAUGUUGAGUACGAAGGUUCAGAGUCUUCUGCUUCUUCCGGGCUGGCCGUGAGUUGGGUAUUAGCAUUUUGGCAAAAAAUGAUUAAGGUGGAGUCUUGGCAUGGAAAAUGAAGUAUUGGGAAUGCAUUUGAAGUCCAUAAAAGUCCCUAUGAAGAAUCAAGAGAAAGUAGGCUUAGGGCAGAUUUAGGGGUAGUUUUGACAUUUGGUCAACUGUUUGGCCAAAAUUUCAAUAGUUGAUCAAAGUCAACCCUAGGUCAAAGUAACAUUUUUUGUAAAGAAUUUUGUAAUCUUGAUUUUGUUAUGAAAUUUGAAAGUUUUGUAAUGGAAAUAGCCCUCUUGGAUGAA